GAGUUUGAUCCUGGCUCAGGAUGAACGCCGGCGGUGUGCCUAAUACAUGCAAGUCGUACGCACUGGCCCAACUGAUUGAUGGUGCUUGCACCUGAUCGACGAUGGAUCACCAGUGAGUGGCGGACGGGUGAGUAACACGUAGGUAACCUGCCCUGUACGGGGGAUAACAAUCAGAAAUGACUGCUAAUACCGCAUAAGACCACAGCACCGCAUGGUGCAGGGGUAAAAACUCCGGUGGUACAGGAUGGACCCGCGUCUGAUUAGCUGGUUGGUGAGGUAACGGCUCACCAAGGCGACGAUCAGUAGCCGGCUUGAGAGAGUGAACGGCCACAUUGGGACUGAGACACGGCCCAAACUCCUACGGGAGGCAGCAGUGGGGAAUAUUGCACAAUGGGGGAAACCCUGAUGCAGCAACGCCGCGUGAGUGAAGAAGUAUUUCGGUAUGUAAAGCUCUAUCAGCAGGGAAGAAAGUGACGGUACCUGACUAAGAAGCCCCGGCUAACUACGUCG
rnacentral:rRNA from 1 species